rnacentral:rRNA from 1 species
UUAAAUUGAAGAGUUUGAUCAUGGCUCAGAUUGAACGCUGGCGGCAGGCCUAACACAUGCAAGUCGAGCGGAAACGAGUUAUCAGAACCUUCGGGGAACGAUAACGGCGUCGAGCGGCGGACGGGUGAGUAAUGCCUAGGAAAUUGCCCUGAUGUGGGGGAUAACCAUUGGAAA